GUCAAACCAGUGCAUUUAAUUCCUCGGUCAAUCCAUCAACAGGAAUCAUUACAACAUUAUGAAAGAGGUGACAGCUUAGAUUAUAGAUAGAGGUUUAAUUUCGUCACGGGGUAAUGAGUGUGUAGGUAUGUGUGUGUGUGUGUGUGUGUGUGUGUGUGUGUGUGUUGGGGGAAGGAUGUGGCAAAAGCCAAACUAGUCAUUCAAAUAAUCUCAAUCAUUUUAGGGUUUACACACUCACAUUUGACAAGGCUUUCGUGGAAGUUGUGGGUAUUUCCAUGAGCAGUUUUUAUGAGCCUGGGAAUUGUCUGACAAGGCUUUGGUAGAGGUUGUGUUAGGUGAAUUUCCAUGAGCAGUUUUUAUGAGCCUGGGAAUUGUCUGACAAGGCUUUGGUAGAGGUUGUGUUAGGUGAAUUUCCAUGAGCAGUUUUUAUGAGCCUGGGAAUUGUCUGACAAGGCUUUGGUAGAGGUUGUGUUAGGUGUAUUUCCAUGAGCAGUUUUUAUGAGCCUGGGAAUUGUCUGACAAGGCUUUGGUAGAGGUUGUGUUAGAUGUAUUUCCAUGAGCAGUUUUUAUGAGCCUGGGAAUUGUCUGACAAGGCUUUGGUAGAGGUUGUGUUAGAUGUAUUUCCAUGAGCAGUUUUUAUGAGCCUGGGAAUUGUCUGACAAGGCUUUGGUAGAGGUUGUGUUAGUUGUAUUACCAUGGGUAGUUUUUAUGAGCCUGGGGAUUGUUUGACAAGACUUUGGUAGAGGUUGUGUUAGUUGUAUUUCCAUUGGUAGUUUUUAUGGGCCUGGGGAUUGUUUGAUAAGGCUUUGGCAGAGGUCGUGUUAGUAGUAUUUCGAUGGUAGUGUUAUGAGCCUGGUGAUGGUUUGACAAGGCUUUGGCAGUGGUCGUAUUAGUGGUAUUUUCAUGGGUAGUGUUAUGAGCCUGGUGAUGGUUUGAUAAGGCUUUGGUAGAGGUUGUGUUAGUAGUGUUUCCAUGGCUAGUGUUAUGAGCCUGGUGAUGGUUUGACAAGGCUUUGGCAGUGGUCGUGUUAGUGGUAUUUUCAUGGGUAGUGUUAUGAGCCUGGUAAUAGUUUGACAAGGCUUUGGCAGUGGUCGUGUUAGUGUUAUUUUCAUGGGUAGUGUUAUGAGCCUGGUGAUGGUUUAACAAGGCUUUGGCAGUGGUCGUGUUAGUGGUAUUUUCAUGGGUAGUGUUAUGAGCCUGGUGAUGGUUUGGUAAGGCUUUGGUAGAGGUUGUGUUAGUAGUGUUUCCAUGGCUAGUGUUAUGAGCCUGGUAAUAGUUUGACAAGGCUUUGGCAGAGGUCGUGUUAGUAGUAUUUCCAUGGCUUGUGAUAAAAUGGCCCUUAGUAGCUCGGCCCACGCAGCAACAGAAAGUAUUGCAACAUAGUCAAAUGGUUGAAAGCUCCGUGCGGGGUCUUGCGUUAGGAGGUGGGGCAAAACGCUUUCCGAUAAGGGAGUUUGACAGCGAUACAAAAAUAGGUUUGGGGAAAUUCCAAUGUCGAUAUUGUUAAGGGGAAGACACCCAUCGUCUGAUUUUUUUUAAUGUAUUAGUCUCUCUCUCUCUCUCUCUCUCUCUCUC